rnacentral:rRNA from 1 species
GAUGAACGCUGGCGGCGUGCCUAAUACAUGCAAGUCGAGCGAACGGACGAGAAGCUUGCUUUUCUGAUGUUAGCGGCGGACGGGUGAGUAACACGUGGAUAACCUACCUAUAAGACUGGGAUAACUUCGGGAAACCGGAGCUAAUACCGGAUAAUAUUUUGAACCGCAUGGUUCAAAAGUGAAAGACGGUCUUGCUGUCACUUAUAGAUGGAUCCGCGCUGCAUUAGCUAGUUGGUAAGGUAACGGCUUACCAAGGCAACGAUGCAUAGCCGACCUGAGAGACGGAUCGGCGACCUGGGAGGUGGAACACGGACCAGACUCCUAAGGGAGGCAGCAGUCGGGAACCGUCGGCAAUGGGCGAAAACCUGACGGAGCAACGCGACGUGAGUGAUAAAGGUCUUCGGAUCGUAAAGAUCUGCUAUUAGGGAAAAACAUAUGUGUAAUUAACUGUGCACAUCUUGACGGUACCUAGUAAGAAAGCCACGGCUAACUACGUG